rnacentral:lncRNA from 13 species
UCUCACUUUCAUUCCAUGCCCUCCUGGGGUAAAGGUUUCAUUUACUCUAAUGAGGCAUACUGGAGUGCUGUCAGAGUUUGGAAGGGUUUAAUAAAGACAGAGGAGAAGCUGUCAAUGAAGAUGACAUCAUGGAAGUUUGAGAUGGAGAAUGGCACUUUUACGGCACUUGUCUUCCUCCUAGUCUUCACAUUUAAUGAUGCAUCAUGAAAGCCUUUGCCAGAAUCCAGGUUGUGCCCUUGACCUUCUCAGCCUGCAGAACUAGAUUGGUUCGGGGUGCUCAAAGGACCAAUCAGAGCCAUUGUGAUGCAGUGAGAUUUUGCUGGGACUUUGAGAGUGACAGUCCUCUUCUUCCAAAGACAGAGUUUUGCUCUGUCAGCCAGGAGUGCCGUGGCACGUUCUUGGCUCACUGCAACCUCUGCCCGCCGAGUUCAAGUGAUUCUCCUGCUUCAGCCUCCUGAGUACCUGGGACUACAGGCACACACUGCCCCAACCGGCUAAUUUCUUUUGUGUUUUAGUAGAGAUGGGGUUUCACUGUGUUGCCCAGGCUGGUCAGAAACUGCUGAGCUCAGGCAGAGAAAAUAUUUGAUAUAAUUCAACCAGUUAUAAUAAAAAUUAUUGUCAAAACA